CGUGUAGGCGGUCGGGUAAGUCAGAUGUGAAAGCCUUCUGCUUAACAGAAGAAGUGCAUUUGAAACUGCCCGGCUGGAGUACGGGAGAGGAGAGUGGAAUUCCCGGUGUAGAGGUGAAAUUCGUAGAUAUCGGGAGGAACACCAGUGGCGAAGGCGGCUCUCUGGUCCGAUACUGACGCUGAGACGCGAAAGCGUGGGGAGCAAACAGGAUUAGAUACCCUGGUAGUCCACGCCGUAAACGAUGGGCAUUAGGUGUAGGAGGUAUUGACCCCUUCUGUGCCGAAGCUAAUGCAUUAAGUGCCCCGCCUGGGGAGUACGGCCGCAAGGCUAAA
rnacentral:rRNA from 1 species